ACGGCGAGUGAAGCGGCAACAGCUCAAAUUUGAAAUCUGGCUCUCGGGCCCGAGUUGUAAUUUGUAGAGGAUGCUUUUGAUGCGGUGCCUUCCGAGUUCCCUGGAACGGGACGCCAUAGAGGGUGAGAGCCCCGUCUGGUUGGAUGCCAAAUCUCUGUAAAGCUCCUUCGACGAGUCGAGUAGUUUGGGAAAUGCUGCUCUAAAUGGGAGGUAUAUGUCUUCUAAAGCUAAAUACCGGCCAGAGACCGAUAGCGCACAAGUAGAGUGAUCGAAAGAUGAAAAGCACUUUGAAAAGAGAGUUAAAAAGUACGUGAAAUUGUUGAAAGGGAAGCGUUUAUGACCAGACUUGGGCUUGGAUAAUCAUCUGGGGUUCUCUCCAGUGCACUUUUCCAGUCCAGGCCAGCAUCAGUUUUCGCCGGGGGAUAAAGGCUUCGGGAAUGUGGCUCUCUCCGGGGAGUGUUAUAGCCCGUUGCGUAAUACCCUGGCGGGGACUGAGGUUCGCGCAUCUGCAAGGAUGCUGGCGUAAUGGUCAUCAACGACCC
rnacentral:rRNA from 1 species